GCCCCGGUAGCCCAACUGGCAGAGGCAGUCGACUUAAAAUCGACACAGUGCGGGUUCGAUCCCCGUCCGGGGCACAA
rnacentral:tRNA from 2 species